GCCUAAAGAGAAGCUUGCGGCUGAUUAGCUUGUUGGUAAGGUAAUGGCUUACCAAGGCGACGAUCAGUAUCUGGUUUGAGAGGACGAUCAGACACACUGGAACUGAGACACGGUCCAGACUCCUACGGGAGGCAGCAGUGGGGAAUUUUCCGCAAUGGGCGAAAGCCUGACGGAGCAAUACCGCGUGAGGGAUGAAUGCCUAUGGGUUGUAAACCUCUUUUUUCAGGGAGGAACAAAAUGACGUGUACCUGAAGAAUAAGCAUCGGCUAACUCCGUGCCAGCAGCCGCGGUAAGACGGAGGAUGCAAGUGUUAUCCGGAAUCACUGGGCGUAAAGCGUCUGUAGGUGGUUUAAUAAGUCAACUGUUAAAUCUUGAGGCUCAACCUCGAAACCGCAGUCGAAACUAUUAGACUAGAGUAUAGUAGGGGUAAAGGGAAUUUCCAGUGGAGCGGUGAAAUGCGUAGAGAUUG
rnacentral:rRNA from 1 species